UUCACAGGUGCAGGAGCAUCCAGAGCGACCAGUGUGAGAUGGCAGGGGGAAAGGUCUUCAUUGCGGCGGAUGAUCAUCGUUUUCACCACACUGCUCUACGCUUUUAGCCUCUUUACAGUGCUGCCUUGUCUAAUCAUGUUCAAGCAGCAUUGUACAGGGCUAUGACAGCAUAGAGAGCUGAGCUGCGUUUCUCUGACCCUUUGGAUGGCAGCCACCAAAUGACAUCAUCCGUUAAAAACACUAAACGGCGAGGAUUGCAUAUGGAGAUAUUCAGUUGCCAAGAAGAGACUUCAAAAACAGACAAAGGAAAUCAGCAAAUCCUAAUUCUUUAAAGGCUGUCCAGGCAUUUCUGCUUAAAUAUUACAAUAAACAACUUAUCAAUUAUCAGUAAGUAUUUGCUGAUCUACAUUUUUAUCUGAAUGUCUAAUCGACUGAGCUCUAAUGUAACACCAUGGAAUAUAUAAUGUACAAUUAAAAAGACUGAAAUAUG